rnacentral:tRNA from 1 species
GGGGACAUAGCUCAGCUGGGAGAGCGCAAGGCUGGCAGUCUUGAGGUCAGGGGUUCGAUCCCCCUUGUCUCCA